GGUGUUAUGGUUGGAAUGGGUCAAAAAGACAGCUAUGUAGGGGAUGAAGCACAGAGUAAAAGGCAUCCUGACGCUGAAGUGUCCCAUUGAGCACGGAAUCAUCACAAACUGGGAUGACAUGGAAAAGAUUUGGCAUCAUUCUUUCUAUAAUGAACUCCGGGUUGCGCCAGAGGAACACCCCGUCCUGCUGACCGAGGCCCCCUUGAAUCCCAAGGCCAACCGUGAAAAAAUGACUCAGAUUAUGUUCGAGACAUUCAAUGUGCCAGCCAUGUAUGUAGCGAUUCAGGCAGUGCUGUCCCUGUAUGCAUCUGGAAGAACAACUGGAAUAGUUUUGGAUUCUGGGGAUGGUGUCACACACAAUGUGCCUAUCUAUGAGGGCUAUGCCUUGCCUCAUGCCAUCAUGAGACUCGAUCUGGCAGGCAGAGACCUGACUGACUAUCUCAUGAAAAUUCUUACGGAGAGAGGCUACUCUUUUGUCACCACUG